UACGUAGGGACCAAGCGUUGGUUCGGAAUUUACUGGGCGUAAAGGGCGCGUAGGCGGUUUGUCAAGUCAGUUGUGAAAUCUCCGAGCUUAACUCGGAACGGUCAACUGAUACUGUCAAGCUAGAGUACAGAAGGGGCAAUCGGAAUUCUUGGUGUAGCGGUGAAAUGCGUAGAUAUCAAGAGGAACACCGUGAGGUGAAGACGGGUUGCUGGGCUGAUACUGACGCUGAGGCGCGAAAGCGUGGGGAGCGAACAGG
rnacentral:rRNA from 1 species